GUCCCAACUGGUAAUGUCCCUCUUUCUCAUGUAUCAACAUCUGAAGUUCCACAAGAAGAUGAAACAACUAGACGUCAUGUUGGGCGUGAGUCUACACACUGUUGGACUGUUGAGGCAAUAGACUCUGAAGAAACGAUCAAGAAGAUUAAGGUGAAAGUUAGGGGAGUCAAUAGCUUACCUAGGGAGUUAUGCAUCAUUGUGAAUUUUGAUGACCAAGGCCAAGCAAUUGGUGAAGCACAAGCCUUGCUUGCAGGAUUUCUUGGAACACUAGCAGCUGAUUGCAAAUUAUUUCCUAUGGAUUAUGAUAGAUGGUCUGGACCUUCAGGCGUACCUAAAGCUUAUUUUGAUGAUUGCUUUGAAACAAUUUUAAAGCCUCGAUUUUAUUUUAAGAUUAAUGAAGCUGGUGCAAAACGAUAUUGCAAAUUGAGUAUGGGAAGAAAAUGGGCUGCAAAUAGGCAAAGCUUAUGGAAUGAAUUCAACGAUCCAACCAAAACAAGAGAUGAAAUCAUAAAAAAUGUGCCGAUAGGCAUAGAUAAAGAUCAAUGGGCUCGCUUUGUUCAUUAUCGUCAUAAACCAUCCACAUUGGUACAAUUAGAUUGUUUUAAUUAUUGAAUUGUUUUUAUAGCUAAUUAUAUGAUUACUAUUACAAGUUGUAAACUUGAAAUUGCUUUGCAUAUAGGAACUUUGUAGGAGAAAUAAAGAGAUUCGAAGCAAGCAAGUUAUUCCACACACUGGUGGAUCUAAAGCUAAUCCUAGAAGAAGAAAUGAGUUGUUGUUAGAAACUGGGAAGCUACCAAGUCGUGGACAAUUAUAUAUUGAAACUCAUAAAAGGAAAGAUGGAUCAUUUGUAAAUGAAGCAGCAAAGACUAUAGCGGAACAAAUUGAAGUAGGAUUGACUCAAAGCAUAGUUGAUGAAUCUGAAGUUUCUCCUCUUGAUGUUGUUGGUAGAGUGUUAGGGUUAGAGCACUCUGGGAGAGUGCGAUGCAUGGGAUUAGGAGUUGUUCCUUCAGGAACACAAGACUUCGAGCUUCUAGUCUGAGCUCUUCUUCAUCUGGUGUUGGCUUUCCAUCUUCAAACCAAUGGCAAGAGAAAUACAACAAUUUAGAAUCAGCUUUUAAGGCCUACAUGAUAAUGAAGGAAGGAAGGAUCCCUGAAGAAUUAGCUAGUUAUUUCACUCCUGAUCAAACACAUGUAAGUAAUUAAUAUGCAUACAUCAUUAUAGAGAAA